AACCAACAGGGAUUCCCCCAGUAACGGCGAGUGAAGCGGGAACAGCUCAAAUUUGAAAUCUGGCCCUCGGGUCCGAGUUGUAAUUUGUAGAGGAUGCUUUUGGUGCGGUGCCUUCCGAGUUCCCUGGAACGGGACGCCUUAGAGGGUGAGAGCCCCGUACGGUUGGACGCCUAGCCUCUGUAAAGCUCCUUCGACGAGUCGAGUAGUUUGGGAAUGCUGCUCUAAAUGGGAGGUAUAUUUCUUCUAAAGCUAAAUACCGGCCAGAGACCGAUAGCGCACAAGUAGAGUGAUCGAAAGAUGAAAAGCACUUUGAAAAGAGGGUUAAAUAGCACGUGAAAUUGUUGAAAGGGAAGCGUUUAUCACCAGACUUUUUCUAGGGGGAUCAUCCGGGGUUCUCCCCGGUGCACUUCCCCUAGUUGAGGCCAGCAUCGGUUUUCGGAGGGGGAUAAAAGUUUCGGGAAUGUGACUCCCCCGGGAGUGUUAUAGCCCGUUACAUAAUACCCUUCUGGGGACCGAGGUUCGCGCAUCUGCAAGGAUGCUGGCAUAAUGGUGAUCAACGACCCGUCUUGAAACACGGACCAAGGAGUCGAACAUUUAUGCGAGUGUUUGGGUGUCAAACCCUCACGCGUAAUGAAAGUGAACGGAGGUGAGAGCCCUUACGGGUGCAUCAUCGACCGAUCCUGAUGUCUUCGGAUGGAUUUGAGUAAGAGCAUAACUGUUCGGACCCGAAAGAUGGUGAACUAUGCGUGGAUAGGGUGAAGCCAGGAGAAAUCCUGGUGGAGGCUCGCAGCGGUUCUGACGUGCAAAUCGAUCGUCAAAUCUGCGCAUGGGGGCGAAAGACUAAUCGA
rnacentral:rRNA from 1 species